rnacentral:rRNA from 1 species
UGGGCAACCUGCCCUCAGCUCUGGGAUAACUCCAAGAAAUUGGGGCUAAUACCGGAUAUGACCGCUGACCGCAUGGUCUGUGGUGGAAAGAUUUAUCGGCUGGGGAUGGGCCCGCGGCCUAUCAGCUUGUUGGUGGGGUAGUGGCCUACCAGGGCGACGACGGGUAGCCGGCCUGAGAGGGUGACCGGCCACACUGGGACUGAGACACGGCCCAGACCUCCUACGGGAG